ACCACAUCAGGAUGUGUUUGCGGUCACCUCUCUAACUUUUGUCCGGCAGAAGUCCGUCGUCCUCGGCUCCUCUCCAUCCUCCGUCCCCAGCGGUUGUUGGGUAAACUCCUCUGCGGCAGCGGCAUGACGUUCCGGAGGAAAUGCUGGGACCAUACUUGAAGUCUUCUGAUCCUCAGGAUGGUCAAGGGAGCCGCUCCUUCAAGUUCCCUGUCCUGUUUCUGAGGAGGGUCACCGGGGUCAUACUCAAUGUUCUCUGUCCCUGAGGAUGGUCGCCGUUCCUCCCUCUUGGUCAUGUUUCCUGUUUCAGAGAAGGGUCAUCCCUACAUGUUUCUUGUCCCUGAGUCAUUGGGACUGCUCGUCUUCAGGUCUGUUACUAAGGAGGGGUUCUCUUUGUAACCCCUUAAUGUUGAUGGGCGGCAGGAAUCUUAACUUUUUUUCUGUUUUAGCUUUUCUAUUGUUUGGUCCUUCCCUCCCAAGUGUUAUGUUUGGGCAUCUGGGACCUGCCCUUUUGGGGAGGGGUACUGUGAGGAUUCUGCACUUGGAUCUUUGAGACGUUUCUUUAGUUUUUGUCAUGUUCUGGAUUCCUUGUCAGUCUGCAGGUUAAGCUUGAUCACUCACAGCCGUCUUAUUUGGUUAAUGACCUCCAGUGUAUUUAAUUGUCUGUUUUUAUCUUCAUUGUCAUGUUUGUCACUUUUCUGUGUCACCCUUGACUUUUGUCAUGUUUGAGUUUAUUGUUUAAAUGUCUCCAGCAUUUUGGGUCCUACACUUCCAGUUCCUGACAAACAAAUGUACAUUAUUUAGUCAAUUGGAACUUGUAAUAAACUGUACCAAAUGA